CCUACGGGGUGCUGCAGUGGGGAAUAUUGGACAAUGGGCGAAAGCCUGAUCCAGCCAUGCCGCGUGUGUGAAGAAGGCCUUCGGGUUGUAAAGCACUUUCAGUGGGGAAGAAAGCCUUGGGGCUAAUACCCUCGAGGAAGGACAUCACCCACAGAAGAAGCACCGGCUAACUCCGUGCCAGCAGCCGCGGUAAUACGGAGGGUGCGAGCGUUAAUCGGAAUUACUGGGCGUAAAGCGCGCGUAGGCGGUCUGAUAAGCCGGUUGUGAAAGCCCCGGGCUCAACCUGGGAACGGCAUCCGGAACUGUCAGGCUAGAGUGCAGGAGAGGAAGGUAGAAUUCCCGGUGUAGCGGUGAAAUGCGUAGAGAUCGGGAGGAAUACCAGAGGCGAAGGCGGCCUUCUGGACUGACACUGACGCUGAGGUGCGAAAGCGUGGGUAGCAAACAGGAUUAGAUACCCGGGUAGUC
rnacentral:rRNA from 1 species